rnacentral:rRNA from 1 species
GACGAACGCUGGCGGCGUGCCUAAUACAUGCAAGUAGAACGCAGUUGCGAACGGGUGAGUCACGCGUAUGUAACUGCCUCAUAGCGGGGGAUAACUAUUGGACACGAUAGCUAAUACCUCAUUCUGUGAGAUGGACCUUCGUUGUAUUAGCUAGUUGGUGCGGUAAAGGAUCACCAAGGCGGCGAUACAUCUCCGACCUGAGAGGGUUAGCGGCAAAACUGGGACUGAGAAAAGGCCAAUACUCGGACGGGAGGAAGCAGUAGGGAAGCUUCGGAAAUGGACGGAAGUCUGACCGAGCAAAGCCGCGGGAGUGAAGAAGGUUUUCGGAUCGUAAAGCUCUGUUGUUAGAGAAGCGGUAACUAACCAGAAAGGGACGGCUAACUACGUGCCAGCCGCCGCGGUAAUAC